GGUCCCGUAGCUCAGCUGGAUAGAGCGCUGCCCUCCGAAGGCAGAGGCCACAGGUUCGAAUCCUGUCGGGACCG
rnacentral:tRNA from 1 species